rnacentral:rRNA from 1 species
GAUCAUGGCUCAGGACGAACGCUGGCGGCGUGCUUAACACAUGCAAGUCGAGCGAGAAUCUAAUGACGGAGUUUUCGGACAACUGAUUUAGAGGACAGUGGCGGACUGGUGAGUAACGCGUGAGGAACCUGCCUUUCAGAGGGGGACAACAGUUGGAAACGACUGCUAAUACCGCAUGACGCAUUUUGAUCGCAUGGUCGGAAUGCCAAAGAUUUAUCG